rnacentral:rRNA from 1 species
UACAGAGGGUGCAAGCGUUUAAUCGGAUUUACUGGGCGUAAAGCGCGCGUAGGCGGCUAAUUAAGUCAAAUGUGAAAUCCCCGACGCUUAACUUGGGAAUUGCAUUCGAUACUGGUUAGCUAGAGUGUGGGAGAGGAUGGUAGAAUUCCAGGUGUAGCGGUGAAAUGCGUAGAGAUCUGGAGGAAUACCGAUGGCGAAGGCAGCCAUCUGGCCUAACACUGACGCUGAGGUGCGAAAGCAUGGGGAGCAAACAGGGAUUAAGAAACCC